GAUGAAGGACGCAGCGAAAUGCGAUACGUAAUGUGAAUUGCAAAUUCAGUGAAUCAUCGAGUCUUUGAACGCACAUUGCGCCCCCUGGUAUUCCGGGGGGCAUGCCUGUCCGAGCGUCAUUGCUGCCCUCAAGCACGGCUUGUGUGUUGGGCCCCGUCCUCCGAUCCCGGGGGACGGGCCCGAAAGGCAGCGGCGGCACCGCGUCCGGUCCUCGAGCGUAUGGGGCUUUGUCACCCGCUCUGUAGGCCCGGCCGGCGCUUGCCGAUCAACCCAAAUUUUUUAUCCAGGUUGACCUCGGAUCAGGUAGGGAUACCCGCUGAACUUAAGCAUAUCAAUAAGCGGAGGA
rnacentral:misc_RNA from 1 species